AAAGCAGUUUCAGAGUUUAGCUAAGGAUUUUCCCCUGUAGUUUAUGUAUGUUACACUUGCAGAGGACGAGGACUGAUCCCUGAUUGGUCCUAAUCCUUUAUAUCUGACUUCUGUGUGGGUCCUGGACAGCAGGGGGGUGAAUGGAUAAUAAUUACCUGUAUUCAUAGUAGAAUAGGGUGUCUGACAGUGUUUCCUUUAUUGUUACUAGUCUAUGUAAUUAUGAUGGUCAUGUGACUGGGACUGUGUACCUUUUAGGAGUUGCCCAGACUAGCCAACAAGUCGACUUUACUGCUCUGCGAAAACUCUAAGCUUAACGUCGACUAGUCACUAAACACGUGAUUAUAUAUAACAGUAACUACAUUAAUGGCACAGAGAACACCAGGUAUGCGGAAGUGCGGGGAAAAGAGAUGGAAGCAGUGGAGCAAAAACUGAGCUCCUCAGUAUCAGUUUAGUCAUGUGUAUGUUAACAGAGGGUCAGCGUUACAAUGAAAGGCGUUGGACGAGAAAACGAAUAAGAAAACGAGUCCUUCAGCAUUGGAGAAAAUGAAGACGUUCCCUAACUUAUGGAUGUGUAUGUUUAGCUGGGGGGUGACGGGAGCCUCCAUACCGUACUGUAAUUCAGCCUAUCCGCAAGCUCUCAAUUGUGCACCUGUAGAAAAUGUACAGGUUAGUUAUAUUUAAUUCAUUAAUAGGUACCGUUUGUGCUUGUUUCUCUACAUUUUGGCAUAGGCAAAUUCUAUAAAUAACCAAUAUAUAUUUUUGUAUAAUAUUACUGGUGUUGGUGGUGAAACUUUUAUUUUUUACAUUACAUUACAUGCUAAUUAAGUGUUUCGAGCUACUAAAGUUCCCAGUCGAGAUGGACCAGGAAGUCAGAAAUGGAACUAUGUCUCCUUUAUAAGUACUUUACAGUAACAAAAUAGCCAUGAAACAUUCAUAUUAUCUGCAGAUUUUGGGCUUUAUGUUUCGAGGAAACCGGAACGACCGACAACUAGACUUCAUACGGAAAUGUGUAUCUAAGCUGCAUUUGCAGUUAUUUUUAGCGCUUGGUGAAAUCCAAGGUAAUAAUUUUAUUUUUUGUAUUGGGCCUAUCUGAGAAAUAACUAACAUUCAGCAUUUGUUUUGUUUUUAUUGAAUGGAAAUAUGUACCAAUGUUUAUUGCAUGUGAUGUAAGUUGGAUAUGUCCGUAGGCCUGCUGAAAAGUCUAAGUAUUGUUACAAUCCAGUAUUACUUACGGCACAUAACAGUAUAGGGACCAACACGUGUGCACCCACAUAUACAGUGACCACCAGAGGUGCAUGAAGUGGUCAUCGGACCCUGGGCUGCCUUUUCUGUGCCCCCCCUUUAUGUUUUAGCAGUUUUACUGAGGCAAAAUCACAACAUCUGGUCCCCCCCAUCCUGGGUUGUUCCCCGCCUCGUGCCCGUAGUUUCCGGGAUAGGCUCUGGACCCCGCAUGACCCAGAAGGAUAAGUGGUUUGGAAAAUGGAUGGAUGGAAAAUCACAUCCUUACAGAGCAACAACUGAACUCGAAAUACAUAAUUAUGCAUGUUUACAAAGCAGCAAUUGAACUACCAAACAGUCGCACAACUUCCUUACAGUAACAACUGAACCAACAAAUAUGUGAAUAAAAUACCAUAAGUCCCUGUUUUGAAAGAGCCCCCCCACUGGCAUUGAUUACAGGCACAGUCAUAAACAGUCACAGUGCUAUAUCAACAUUUGGAGACACUGACUGUAGUUUCCUUCCCUUAAAUUGUAGCAGUGACCUUGCUGAGGUGUCCUGGAUUUCUUUGGACAAUUUAGAGAAUUUAUUAAUUUCAUCCACAAACCUGCCUCCAGAUUUUUUGGAGACUUGCCGUACUCAAAGAUCUUGUAGUUGUUAGCUUCUGCUUGGAAUCAUCACUCAACUUUAGCAGAAACUCCUGAAUUUUCACAGUUUCGCUGUAGUGCUUUCAUUGUUAGUGCGUGUGCCGACCAUCUAGUACCAUGGAGACUUUUCAUAGAGACUUUUCAUAAAGUCUGUAUCCUCUGGUUGUCAUUAUGCCCUAAACCCAGUGCAACUGUCUGCCAAUGGAGGUGGAUUUGGAAGAAAAAUCAA